rnacentral:lncRNA from 1 species
CAAUUCAAUACAUUUUUCCAGCAAACAAAAGCACUAAACUUGGCUGGACAAUCAAGACUAAUUCGGCUGGGACUUAAUGGAGACAUGGAGUGGAAUCCUUGGCUGGAAAAGCACUACACUUGGCUGGACAUUCAAUGAAAAUUCGGUUGGACUUUGGAGUGGACUUUGGGGCCUAUAAAUAGCUUAUCUUUGUAUCAAAUAAGAGCAUCAUAUUUUCCUUCAUUCUGAACUAGCUCUUUUCUCUCUUUGUACCACCUUAUGUUUAUGUUCUUAGAACUCUUAAGAGUUAGGAUGGAAGCCAUGAAGAACUAAAGUUUCAUAGAUUGAUCUGCUGUAUUCAGGUUCCAUCACAACUUUGAGUGUGCGACAGCGGAUAACCGAGUGUCGCUUCCCUGAACUACAGUUUUUACUCGUUUUGACCCGUGUGCGACAGCGGAUCAAAUUGGCGCCGUUGCCGGGGACUCUUGUUAUUGUUAACUAAGUUAGAGUCAUAGGUUUAAUGUUCCUAGCUUAGGCCAUAGUUUCCUUCUGCAAGUCAGUUUGCUGUCAGAUUUUUGCUAUUUUUAGGUUAGCCGGUUUUUGAAAAAAAAUUGUGUCCGAUUGGAGAUCUGUUUUAACCACCUCAUGUGAAAAAAUUCUCCGGUCAUUAGUCCCAUUACGGGACUUUGAUCCCCAUUUUCCAAAUUCCAUCGUUUACUAUUUUUAAAGAAUUUUUUACUGUUUUCAUGGUCUCCAAAAACCUUCAAAAAAUUCUCAAAAAUCACAUUUCCUCUUAUUAGAUCAAAUUUGAGUUUUUAGAUUUUUCUGAUUUUUUUUGAAUCGUUUUCCCUCAUUGUGUUUGUCUUUGUCGGUUAAGGACAUUGUUGGCAUUUUUGUAAUUGUUUCUGUAUUAUUGUGUAGUGCUGCUGAAUUGUUGCUGUAUUACUGCAUUGCUGUACAUUAGCCCUGGCUACUAGGUCUUCUUGUUCCAAACUCUUUGAUUUUGAUCCUGAGAUUGAAAGAACAUUGCACAAACAACAUAGAACAGUCCAGGGUAGCAAUAGUUCACCACACUUAAUUGAUUCUGAUCCUGAAAAUUUGAUAGAUAUGGCUGAGCAAACUUUAAGGCAACUUGCAGCCCCUGAUGUGAAUUAUAAUGGCUUAUGCAUUGAAUAUCCUGGUACUGAGGCACCUUUUGAACUAAAAUCUGGUUUGAUACACUUGUUGCCAAAGUUUAAUGGUCUUGCAGGUGAGGAUCCUCAUAAGCAUCAGAAGGAAUUCCAGGUCGUGUGCUCCACACCAUCAAGGCCUGAAGGAAUCACUGAAGACCACAUCAAACUCAGAGCCUUUCCAUUCUCAUUACAAGGUGCAGCAAAAGACUGGAUAUAUUACCUUGAGCCAAACUCCAUCACAAGCUGGAAUGCCCUCAAAAGAGUGUUCCUUGAAAGAUAUUUCCCUGCCUCCAGAGUAUCCUCAAUCAGAAAAGAUAUAUGUGGUAUUAGGCAGGAAAAUGAGUCAUUAGCUGAAUACUGGGAGAGAUUUAAGAAGUUAGUUGCAAGCUGCCCUCAACACCAGAUCAGUGAACAAUUACUCAUCCAGUAUUUUUAUGAGGGAUUGUUACCAAUGGAUAGAAGCAUUCUUGAUGCUGCUAGUGGUGGAGCACUUGUUGAUAAAACCCCAGCUGCUGCCAAGGCCUUGAUUGAAAAGGUGUCUCUCAACUCCCAACAGUUCACCACUCGAAGCAGUUCUGUCCAAACCAAGGGUGUGCAUGAAAUUCAGGUUUCUUCCAACAAAGCUGUAGAAACCAGAAUUGAUGAGCUUACCUCUCUGGUGAAAAAACUGGUAGCAGGCACAUCUCAGCCAGCUGGAACAGCUCACACAAAAUGGGUAUGUGGUAUUUGUACUUCUCCUGAGCAUCCAACUGACAUUUGUCCUGUCUUACAAAAUGAAUCAGGUGCUGAGAUCCCCCAGGCCUAUGCAGCAAAUCUUUACAACAAUCCUGACCUGUCAACAAACAGAUACCAUCCCAGUUGGAAGAACCAUUCAAACCUGAGAUAUGGAAACCAACAGUCCAACCACCAACAGAAUCCACAACGAGUGGCUACUCCUGCACCCUCUGGAUCUGGACCUUCCUUAGAGGACAUUGUCAAACAAAUGGCUGUCAACAAUCUCCAGUUCCAACAGAGAACAGACUCUAGCAUCCAGAUCAUCAAUACACAGAUUGGACAGCUUGCUACUCAAAUAAAUACUAUGCAGUCCCGAGGAUCAAGCCAACUUCCUGCACAAACAGUUGUCAAUCCAACUGGUCCUGCUAAUGUGAGUGCAAUUACCCUGAGAUCCGGUAAAGUUGCAGAAACAACCACCAAAAAAAUUCCUGAGGUAACAUCUGAACCUUCUUCAUCUGUGGUAGAAACUGAUGAUGUUCCUGAGAAAUAUGCACCACCAGUUCCCUUUCCAAACAGAAUUCAGAAAAAUAAAAGGUUUGACGAAGGGGAUAAAGAAAAAGAAAUUCUAGAUGUAUUCAGGAAAGUUGCAGUUAACAUUCCGCUUCUUGAUGUCAUUAAGCAGAUUCCAAAGUAUGCAAAGUUUCUGAAAGAUUUGUGUACAAACAAGAGAAAAUUGAAAGGAAGUGAUAGAGUAAGUUUGGGAAGAAAUAUCUCUGCCUUUUAUUCAGCCCAAACCUUCAUCUGAAAAGGUUACAGGCGAGCAGAAUGUUUCAUCCCUCACUCAGGUUUUGCCACAGAAACAGAAAGAUCCAGGCACUUUUGCUAUCCCUUGUACCAUCGGGGAUAAUAAAUAUGAGAACUGCAUGCUUGAUUUAGGAGCUGGCAUUAACGUUAUGCCUACUUCUAUUUAUAACAUCCUUCAUCCUGGCCCUUUGCAGCAUACAGGUUUAAUUGUCCAGCUGGCAAACAGGAGUAACGCUCGGCCUAAAGGAGUGGUGGAAGAUGUUCUUGUUCAAGUUAAUGAAUUAAUCUUUCCUGCAGAUUUUUACAUUCUGGACAUGGAAGGAGAAACUAAAUCCAGCAGGGCUCCCAUCAUUUUAGGCAGACCAUUCAUGAAAACAGCAAAAACAAAAAUUGAUGUUGACAAUGGAACCAUGUCCAUGGAAUUUGGUGACAUUAUUGCAAAAUUCAACAUUGAUGAUGCCAUGAAACAUCCCUUGGAAGAUCAUUCUGUCUUUCAUAUUGGAGUAAUCUCUGAAUUAGUUGAUGACACUUUUUCUGAAUUAUUUUCACCUGAAUGGCCAUCCUUAUCUGGUUUUGAUGAUACUUACUCAUGUGUUGAUUGUACUGACACUAACAUUUGUGUUGUUUGUGCUGAGAUUGAUGCUGCUUUGCAGGGUGAUAUGUUAGCUACAGGUGAAGUUCUUGUUAGUGAAGAUGUUUAUGCCGCUGAAGCUCUUGACAUCCCAGCUUCCCCAAACACUCCAUCCAUCGAGCUGCCCCCAUCCUUAGAGCUGAAGCAGCUCCCGGAUAAUCUGAAAUAUGCUUAUUUGGAGAGUGAUGAGAAACUCCCUGUUAUUAUUUCUUCUAACCUUGAUUUAGAGCAGGAAAAUAAACUUUUGCAGGUUUUGAAGAAACACAGAAAGGCAAUUGGUUGGACAUUAGCUGACAUUCCAGGAAUUAGCCCUUCCAUGUGCAUGCACCGGAUUUUACUUGAAGAUGGUGCAAAAACAGUGAGGCAGCCCCAAAGGAGGCUUAAUCCUUUGAUUCUUGAUGUUGUGAAGAAAGAGGUAACCAAACUAUUGCAAGCAGGUAUCAUUUACCCCAUCUCUGACAGCAAAUGGGUAAGCCCAAUACAGGUAGUACCUAAGAAAUCUGGACUCACAGUGGUGAAAAAUGAAAAAAAUGAACUUGUUCCCACUAGAAUUCAGAACAGUUGGAGAGUUUGUAUUGAUUACAGGAGAUUGAACCAGGCUACUAGAAAGGAUCACUUUCCUUUACCAUUCAUUGACCAAAUGCUUGAAAGACUUGCAGGGAAAUCACAUUACUGUUUUCUUGACGGUUUUUCAGGUUACUUUCAGAUUCAUAUUGCACCGGAAGAUCAAGAGAAGACCACCUUUACUUGUCCAUUUGGUACUUUUGCUUACAGGAGGAUGCCUUUUGGUCUUUGCAAUGCCCCUGGCACCUUCCAAAGGUGCAUGAUUAGCAUUUUUGCUGAUUUUAUUGAAAAGUGCAUGGAAGUUUUUAUGGAUGAUUUCACUGUUUAUGGUUCUUCUUUUGAUGAUUGUUUGAGAAGUCUGAGCUUGGUUUUACAGAGAUGCAUCGAAACUGACCUUGUUUUAAAUUAUGAAAAAUGUCAUUUUAUGGUUGAGCAGGGAAUUGUUCUUGGUCACAUUAUUUCUGAAAAAGGAAUUUCUGUUGAUCCUGCUAAGCUUGAUGUGAUUUCUACAUUACCUUACCCUUCUUGCAUUCGCGAGAUUCGUUCUUUUCUUGGUCAUGCAGGUUUUUACAGGCGGUUCAUUAAGGAUUUCAGCAAGAUAGCCCUUCCGCUGUCAAACUUGUUGAAAAAUGACGUCCCUUUCAACUUUGAUGACAAAUGCAAGCAAGCGUUUGACUUCUUGAAGAAAGCAUUAACCUCCUCUCCCAUCAUUCAGCCCCCUGACUGGACCCUACCCUUUGAGCUCAUGUGCGAUGCUUCUAAUUAUGCUGUUGGGGCUAUCCUUGCACAAAGAAUUAACAAAUCUGCCCAUGUUAUUUCCUAUGCUUCUAGGACUUUGGAUUCUGCACAGUCAAAUUACACCACCACUGAAAAGGAACUUCUAGCCAUUGUUUUUGCUCUUGAUAAAUUCAGAUCAUAUUUGCUAGGUUCCAAGGUUGUUGUUUUUACUGACCAUGCAGCAUUAAAGUACUUGUUGAAGAAGCCUGAUGCAAAACCGAGAUUGAUUCGGUGGAUGUUGUUGCUCCAAGAGUUCAAUGUCGAGAUUAAAGACAAAAGUGGAGCUGAGAACUUAGUAGCUGAUCAUUUAAGCAGAAUAGAGAAGAAUGAAGAUCAUUUUCCUAUUCAGGAUGACUUUCCUGAUGAACAGCUUUUACUUGUGCAUGGAAUUACCCCCUGGUUUGCUGACAUUGUUAAUUAUCUUGUUGCUGGUGUUUUUCCCACAGGUGCAUCUAGAUCACAGAUUAACAAACUCAAGAGUGACUCCAAGUACUAUGUUUGGGAUGAUCCAUAUCUUUGGAAAUUUGGCAGUGAUCAGGUGAUAAGGAGAUGUGUCCCUGACUACGAGAUUGAAUCUGUUUUGAAUUUUUCUCAUGCAUCUGAAGUGGGGGGACACUUUGGCCUACUAUUUUUAAAGAUGCUUAUGAGACCUACCGCACUUGUAAAGAGUGCCAGAUAGCAGGUACAGCCAUCACUCGUAAGAGUGAAAUGCCUCAGCAACCUAUGCUCUUUUGUGAGGUCUUUGAUGUAUGGGGAAUUGACUUCAUGGGUCCCUUUCCUGUGUCAUUUGGGUUCCUCUACAUUUUACUUGCUGUUGAUUAUGUGUCAAAGUGGGUGGAAGCUAUUCCCACUAGGACUAAUGAUUCUAGAGUUGUUGCAGAUUUUGUCCGGUCUAAUAUAUUUUGCAGGUUUGGAAUACCGCGAGCUAUCAUAAGUGACCAAGGCACUCAUUUCUGUAACCGCACCAUGGAAUCUUUGCUCCGGAAGUAUGGAGUUGUGCACCGAAUCUCUACUGCAUAUCACCCCCAAAGUAAUGGGCAAGCUGAGAUCUCAAACAGAGAGAUCAAACGGGUGUUAGAAAAAAUGGUGCAACCAAACAGGAAGGACUGGAGCCGCCGUCUAGAAGACGCACUUUGGGCUCAAAGAACAGCUUUCAAGACACCCAUUGGGAUGUCUCCUUAUCGACUUGUUUUUGGUAAAGCUUGUCACCUUCCUGUAGAGAUAGAACACCGUGCUUAUUGGGCAGUGAAAAGUUGUAAUUUGGAGAUGCAACAAGCAGGUAUUGAAAGAAAACUCCAAUUACAGCAGCUUGAAGAAUUGAGACUAGAGGCUUAUGAAAGCUCUAGGAUUUAUAAAGAGAAAACUAAGCAUUUCCAUGAUAAAAUGAUUUCUAGGAAGGAAUUCUCUGUGGGCCAACAAGUUUUACUGUUUAAUUCCCGCCUUAAGCUUAUGGCGGGGAAACUUCGAUCCAAAUGGAUUGGCCCUUUUGUUGUUACUAAUGUUUUCCCUCAUGGUGCAGUAGAAAUUAAAAGUGCAGGUACUGACAAAGUUUUUAAGGUCAAUGGGCAGCGGCUGAAGCUGUUUCAUGCAAAUUUACGACCAGAAGUGGAAACUGUUGAAGAGCUCUCCCUGGAAGAGCCUUCCUAUCAUCAAGCUGCUACGCCUUGAACCCUCGGGUGCACUCCUUCCUUAUUCUCACUUUAUGCUUAUUGAUCCAUUGCGGACAAUGUCUGAUUUAAGUGUGGGGGGGAGAACAUGCUGACCUUGUUUGUUUUGAUUUAUUUUGUUAUUUGUUUUUGUUUUGGUAUGCAUGCAACUGUUAUGAGUAGUUUUUUGUGUUCUAAGUCUAGAGAUGUAUGGCAUAUUUUUGACAACUUGUUGUUCCUUUUUAAAGAGUAUUGUGAUAAGUUGGCUUGAUACUGGAUGGAUUGUGCAUCUUUAUGAUUGAACAUGAAACCCUGUGAGCUUUUGAACCUUCAAAAAAUUCAUUGUUUCUUGUGUGAUUCACUCAUCUUGUUGGUUACUUCUAGAACUUGACUUGACUCUUGAAGCACUUGUUCACAUGCAUGUACAUGAAAUGAUCUAGGCAUUUGUUUUUUUUAAGCUACUUUUAGCCAAAUGAGCCUACCAUGAUGAUUUAACCUUUGAUAAGCCCCUUUGAGCCUGUUUACCCCAUUCUUUGUUUAUAAACUCAUUACAAGCCUACUAAGCCUUUGUUUUAUCCACCCUUUGAAUGAGCUUGAAUUAUAAAUUUUGGAUAAGUAUGGGGGUGCUCAAUUGAAUGAUCUGUGAAAGGGAAUUUCUGGUUAUGUUACUAUGCUAAAUUCAAAAAAAAAAAAAUGGAAGAAAAAAAAGAAAAAAAAUGAAGAAAACAAAAAAGAAAAUAAAAAUGUUGUUCUGUGUGAAGAUUUGUUGAGCAAAUUUAACCCUCAUGCUUAUCUUAACAUGAAUUUCAUGCUUCCUUCCCUCUCUCUUUUUUUUUUUUUUUUUUAGCCUAGUACCCUUAGGAUCAUCCCACCUACACCUUGGCCCCAUUACAACCUUAAUAAAGACCUUUUGAUCUGUGCGUGCAUGUGCUUCGUUGUGUUGAAUUCCUCUAUCUUUGUGGAUGUUAGAGUCUUGUCAAGCCUAUGGCAGUGCUAAUUUGAUGAUGUGCUUUGAGUGCAAACACAAACCCUCAUGAGUGAUUGAGUGUACCUUAUAUAUAUAUUUUCCGUGAGGUUCUGUCACUUUUGAUGCACUUUUCAGUCGGAUUACCAUCUUGUCCAUUACAAUUUUUAUUAGAUGUUGUCCAUAAUUGCUAUACUCCUUGAAUCUUAGAAUAUGUAAAAAUUGCUUGUGACUUUGCAUCAUGCUUUGUUUCCUUAUAUCAAUCUUUGAUUCUGGGUUUUGCUCGGAGUGCAAAAGUUCAAGUGUGGGGGAAUUUGAUCAGUGCAUUUUGGCACAUACUUUCUUGCUUUGUAAGAUAACAUGUUGAAAGCUUUUCUCACCUAAGAUUAACUUUUUACCAUGUUUCUUAACUUUGGUCCAUAGUUGAGCUUUAAAAUAAUUUUUGCCUACACUACUUGUUUUUGCAGAAUAAAUUAUAAAAGCCAAUGGUCCCCAUGAAUUUUCAAGCAGUUUUUCCAGCCAAGGAGAAGCACUUUUCCAGCAAACAUGGCAACAAACAUGGUAGGAAUAAUGGAAGGAAUAUUGGCUGGACAAGCACUUGAGAUUCGAAUAAAUUAAGAAGCCAAUUCCAGCCAACAUUCCAUCAAGCACAUGGGCCAAUUCCAACCAAUUCAAUACAUUUUUCCAGCAAACAAAAGCACUAAACUUGGCUGGACAAUCAAGACUAAUUCGGCUGGGACUUAAUGGAGACAUGGAGUGGAAUCCUUGGCUGGAAAAGCACUACACUUGGCUGGACAUUCAAUGAAAAUUCGGUUGGACUUUGGAGUGGACUUUGGGGCCUAUAAAUAGCUUAUCUUUGUAUCAAAUAAGAGCAUCAUAUUUUCCUUCAUUCUGAACUAGCUCUUUUCUCUCUUUGUACCACCUUAUGUUUAUGUUCUUAGAACUCUUAAGAGUUAGGAUGGAAGCCAUGAAGAACUAAAGUUUCAUAGAUUGAUCUGCUGUAUUCAGGUUCCAUCACAACUUUGAGAUUGUUAAUGUUCAGUUUAAAUUCGUUUCCUUUGCAAUCUUUC